rnacentral:rRNA from 1 species
UCCGGUUGAUCCUGGCAGAGGCCACUGCUAUCGGAGUUCGAUUAAGCCAUGCGAGUCGAGAGAUGCAAGACCUCGGCAUACUGCUCAGUAACACGUGGACAACCUACCCUAUGGAGGGGGAUAACCCCGGGAAACUGGGGAUAAUACCCCAUAGACUAUAGAUGCUGGAAUGCUUUGUAGUUGAAAGGUCCGCCGCCAUAGGAUGGGUCUGCGGCCGAUUAGGUUGUUGUUGGGGUAACGGCCCAACAAGCCUGUAAUCGGUACGGGUUGUGGGAGCAAGAGCCCGGAGAUGGAUUCUGAGACACGAAUCCAGGCCCUACGGGGCGCAGCAGGCGCGAAAACUUUACAAUGCGGGAAACCGUGAUAAGGGAACUCCGAGUGCCCGUAAAAUCGGGCUGUCCAUCUGUUUAAAUAACAGGUGAAGAAAGGGCCGGGCAAGACCGGUGCCAGCCGCCGCGGUAAUACCGGCGGCUCGAGUGGUGGCCACUAUUACUGGGCUUAAAGCGUUCGUAGCUGGUCUGUUAAGUCUCUGGGGAAAUCUACUGGCUUAACCAAUAGGCGUCUCAGGGAUACUGGCAGACUAGGGACCGGGAGAGGUGAGAGGUACUCUAGGGGUAGGAGUGAAAUCCUGUAAUCCUUGGGGGACCACCUGUGGCGAAGGCGUCUCACCAGAACGGCUCCGACAGUGAGGGAUGAAAGCUGGGGGAGCAAACCGGAUUAGAUACCCGGGUAGUCCCAGCCGUAAACGAUGCGCGUUAGGUGUAUCGGUGACCACGAGUCACCGAGGUGCCGAAGAGAAAUCGUGAAACGUGCCGCCUGGGAAGUACGGUCGCAAGGCUGAAACUUAAAGGAAUUGGCGGGGGAGCACCACAACAGGUGGAGCCUGCGGUUUAAUCGGACUCAACGCCGGAAAUCUCACCGGAUAAGACAGCUGGAUGAUAGUCGGGCUGAAGACUCUACUUGACUAGCUGAGAGGAGGUGCAUGGCCGUCGUCAGUUCGUACUGUGAAGCAUCCUGUUAAGUCAGGCAACGAGCGAGACCCA